UUAUUAGCUAGCAUUUAGCUAGCGCUGGUUUUUAUAGUACAAAUGUUUUUGUUCAUAUUUGUACACCAGACAAACGAUACUUCGGGAAGACUGACUGAACGCAGACGGUUUAUAUACAGACACAAUGCUAACCAGAGACAUGUGCGACUGGGAACGAACAGUGGGUUUGUGGGCAUCGUAGUCCUUGGAUGACGGCGCUCUCGUGGCAAACGUGGCACUGGAAAAUCAGAACCACAUCUGACGGGGCUUGGAUGAGAGCCCUGAUGAAGCCUACUAACCCGUGUGGGCUCUACGCGGCUCUCUAGCUCCACUCCCCUCAACCCACCUUAACCUUCCAGUAACGAUGGAGAAGCUGGGAUCGCUGGGACGAAGCUGUCGCUGUGAUCCACACAUUACGGAACACAUACCCAAGUGCUUAUACCAUACAACAUAUAGAAUUAUAAGGCCUCAACUGGCAAGUUCGGAAUGUCCUUUGAACGGCCAA